UGGGCAUGCCGCGACUGGCGUUCGAGGUGGACCACCACCGGGGAGCGGCGCACACAGGGAUGAGCCGUACGCCUGGGCUCGAUCA
rnacentral:ncRNA from 2 species